rnacentral:rRNA from 1 species
GUAGGUGGCAAGCGUUGUCCGGAAUUAUUGGGCGUAAAGCGCGCGCAGGGCGGUUCUUUAAGUCUGAUGUGAAAGCCCACGGCUCAACCGUGGGGGGUCAUUGGAAACUGGAGAACUUGAGUACAGAAGAGGAAAGCGGAAUUCCACGUGUAGCGGUGAAAUGCGUAGAGAUGUGGAGGAACACCAGUGGCGAAGGCGGCUUUCUGGUCUGUAACUGACGCUGAGGCGCGAAAGCGUGGGGAGCAAACAGGAUUAGAUACCCUGGUAGUCCACGCCGUAAACGACGAGUGCUAAGUGUUAGGGGGUUUCCGCCCCCUUAGUGCUGCAGCUAACGCAUUAAGCACUCCGCCUGGGGAGUACGGCCGCAAGGCUG